CCUACGGGAGGCAGCAGUGAGGAAUAUUGGUCAAUGGGCGAGAGCCUGAACCAGCCAAGUCGCGUGAGGGAGUACUGCCCUAUGGGUUGUAAACCUCUUUUGUCGGGGAGCAAAAGCCGGACGUGUCCGGCUGUGAGAGUACCCGAAGAAAAAGCAUCGGCUAACUCCGUGCCAGCAGCCGCGGUAAUACGGAGGAUGCGAGCGUUAUCCGGAUUUAUUGGGUUUAAAGGGUGCGCAGGCGGAUUUUUAAGUCAGCGGUAAAAUCGUGGGGCUCAACCCCAUCCAGCCGUUGAAACUGGGGAUCUAGAGUGUGCGAGAGGUAUGCGGAAUGCGUGGUGUAGCGGUGAAAUGCAUAGAUAUCACGCAGAACCCCGAUUGCGAAGGCAACAUACCGGUGCACAACUGACGCUCAGGCACGAAAGCGUGGGUAUCGAACAGGAUUAGAUACCCGUGUAGUC
rnacentral:rRNA from 1 species